UAUCAAGAAAAUUGAAGGUCAUCACCAAGCACCUCACGACCAAGAACAAAGGAAAACCCAAAUCAAAUUCAAGCCACUCCAAAAUUAUUUCCUUGAUACAAACCCACUAUAUUGAAGCCCCUAAGUAGCGUGGAAGUAUUGUUUGGGUCAUCCAACCAUUAGUUGUACCCAUUUGCAAACCCUAACUAUUUGGUGGAUUGAAGAAGAAAGAUCGUGGGCAGCCCGAAUCAUAGUUUGGACUUAGCUUGAGUUGGAUCAUAUUGGAGAGCGUUUGAGGUACAGACGCACAGCCUGGUGGUCCACCUGUUUAGGACACCCUUUCUGCUAUUCGGAGUGCUCCUCUCUUUCCGGAGCUUAUACUUUUGGUAUAUAUAUUUAUUAGUGCAUUUGUAUAUAUUCGUUCAUGGGUACGGCGGGGCCCUGUCCCGUCAUAUGAUUCUGUCGGUCUGUUUAGAGGUCUGUGGACAUGUUUGUGGGUUAGGGUCUUUCUGUAUGGAUGUAUGUACAUGUCGUUUGGGCGAUCCCAUACGCUGAGGCGGCCGGUUCGCAUAUGUUGUUUGGGCGAUCCUAUACGCCGAGGCGGCCGGUCCGCAUAUGUUUAUAUAUUGCUUGGUUAGCCCUGUGUGGCUUUUGUUGGUAUUUUCUGCGUGCAGGGUAUAUUGGAUAGUCCGUAAAACAAAGGAAACUC